rnacentral:rRNA from 1 species
GUGCAGCAGUCGCGAAACCUCCGCAAUACACGAAAGUGUGACGGGCCAUCCCGAGUGCCGUCCGCUGAGGACGGCUUUUCCCCAGUGUACACAGCUGGGGGAAUAAGGAGAGGGCAAGCCUGGUGUCAGCCGCCGCGGUAAUACCAGCUCUCCGAGUGGUGGGGACGCUUAUUGGGCCUAAAGCAUCCGUAGCCGGCUGGGCAAGUCCUCCGUUAAAUCCAACGAUUCAAUCGUUGGGCUGCGGGGGAUACUGUCCAGCUUGGGGGCGGGAGAGGCCGACGGUAUUCCCGGGGUAGGGGUGAAAUCCUAUAAUCCCGGGAGGACCACCAGUGGCGAAGGCUGUCGGCUAGAACGCGCCCGACGGUGAGGGAUG